CAGAGGGUUUUGAGGCUCAAGUAAGGAACAGAUGUAAAAGCAUUCAUUAGGUCUGAAGUGCCAAAUAGAUGUGAAAUGAUAGCCGAACAGAAAAAUCUUCAUCUGUGCUUCUCUGAAGACCCAGGAUGGAAGGUAGUGAACCAUGAGAUUGUCAGUGGGCGGCGCUGUUUGGCUGUAAAAUGAGACGAUGUUGUAACAGCCUAACAGAACAGGUGUGACCAUUUAGCCUUUUCAAACCUUGAGGAAGCAUCUCGAGGAUCCACAAGAAGUUUUACUAAUUGGUAAAGGUAUGGAAGUCCUAGAGGAUAUGCUUCUAAACUAAUCAGAGUUGUGUGGAAAACUAUUGUUUUCUUAUGUGCCAGGUAAGUCCUUUAUUAUUUCAUAUAAGGGAGAUAGAGACUAAUGGUUAAAAAUGACUUUUUGAGGAUGGGCAAUUGAAGCCCUUCAGCUUUCCUUCCUUGAGGUCUUGAGGACCAAGAACAGGGAAAGUAGGGCCAAGGUCUCAAACAACUACAGGAAACUGGGGAUCAGAAAAGUAGGGGAAAGUUUGAAGAGGGGCAAGUACAUAUAAGUAGGGCCAGUCCAUAGUGGAGAGGGAGACAGGAAGAAGUUUGGAGGAGCAGACAGAUAAGGAGAGGAAAAGGAGACCGGAGUGAGUGUCUUUGAGGUUGGAGUGGAUGAGAGGUCGGAGUAGUUGAGGAGGACAAGUGGUCCUUGAGAAAUCGAAUAGCUUCAGAUAAAGUAGAUUGUGAUUACUUAGUGGCCUGAUUAAGGUUAGAUUGAGAAAACCAUUUUUCAGCUUCUUCACAACAAGAGAAGUAAGCAGGCCAUUG